rnacentral:rRNA from 1 species
GAUGAACGCUGGCGGCAUGCCUAACACAUGCAAGUCGAUCGGUAAGACUCUUCGGUUUACCCGCGAGGCGGAGGGCUGGGUAACUCGUAGACACACACACUGCCUUGCGGUAUAAGUCACCUAAAGGUGUUCUAAUACCGCAUACGGUCUUCGGUUUAAAGCAUUUCUGCGAUCAAGGAGUAGCCUGCGUCUUAUUAGAUAGUUGGUACGGUAAUGGCUCACCAAGUCGAUUAUGUGUAGCUGGUCUGAGAGAAUGAUCAGACAGACUGGAACGGAGACACGGUCGAGACUCUUACGGGAGGGAGCAGUGAGGAAUAUUGCACAAUGAGGGAAAGGUUGAUGGAGCAAUGCUGCGUGCAGGAUGAAGGCACGCGGGUUGUAAACUGCUUUUAUAAGAGAAGAUUAUGACGGUAACUAAUGAAUAAGGGACGGCUAACUACGUG